rnacentral:rRNA from 1 species
AGUAAAAGUCGUAACAAGGUUUCCGUAGGUGAACCUGCGGAAGGAUCAUUACCGAGAGUUGCAGGCUUUUGUCUGCCAUCUCUUACCCAUGUCUUUUGCGUACUACACGUUUCCUCGGCAGGUCCGCCUGCCGUUAGGACCACAUUAAACCAUUUGCAGUUGCAGUCAGCGUCUGAAAAACUUAAUAAUUACAACUUUUAACAACGGAUCUCUUGGUUCUGGCAUCGAUGAAGAACGCAGCGAAAUGCGAUAAGUAGUGUGAAUUGCAGAAUUCAGUGAAUCAUCGAAUCUUUGAACGCACAUUGCGCCCCUUGGUAUUCCAUGGGGCAUGCCUGUUCGAGCGUCAUUUGUACCUUCAAGCUCUGCUUGGUGUUGGGUGUUUGUCCCGCCUUUGUGCGCGGACUCGCCUUAAAGCAAUUGGCAGCCGGCGUAUUAGUUUCGGAGCGCAGCACAAAUCGCGCUCUGUGUCUUAUACGGUAGCAUCCAUCAAGACUAUUUUACACUCUUGACCUCGGAUCAGGUAGGGAUACCCGCUGAACUUAAGCAUAUCAAUAAGCGGAGGAAAAGAAACCAACAGGGAUUGCCCCAGUAACG